rnacentral:snoRNA from 1 species
UUAGGAAUGACACACUUGUCCUCCCUGAGAUCAUAGUUUGAAGAUAAGAGUCUUGCUCUUUAUAUCCAUCUGCUGAGCCAA